rnacentral:tRNA from 2 species
GCAAAAAGUAGCUUACCACAAAGCACCCGACUUACAAACGGAGGACGUCCUACACACCUUUUUGA